GGUUAAGUCUAACAGUAUAUAUUCUAGCAUAAAAUUAGGUAACUUUAAAUAAAGGCAUCUGUACAUAGCUGUAAAGCCUUUAUGUUAUUACUGGCUCUGGAAACAGCACAUAAAGAGAUACAUUCUAUCUGAAAUACUUUAGCCAACCUCAGAAAAGCCUUCCCUGAACAUGCAGCUAAAAUAAAAAGUUGCAGUAUCUUCAACGGCAACUUCCAGCGCUAUUUCAAAAGGCAAACACUUCCCUGUAAUUACAGGCCAGACUCCCAAAGUACCAUUUUUGUCUUCUUUAAGUAUGUCCAUUUGAGGCUAUCAAUAAGCAUCAUAAAAAACACAAGACAUUCACAUACUAUUUUAGCCAAAUAGAUUGCAAGUUGUUUCCAGCUCCUACAGCCUGCUUACACAUUUAGAAUUUGAAUUCCUCUCCAAGACUUAAAUGGGCACUGAAUUAAGACAACGACUCACAAUCCCUGAAUUUCAGAUGCCGGCAGUUUUAUUUCCCGUAGAUUAAUGGUGACUGGAUGCUGGUGAACACACUCAUAGCCCUACAAGUUUCUACAGUGCAAGGCGAAAAUGGAAUGCAAGUAUAACCCCCGCAGGCUCCACAUACCACUAGAGGGCCCUCGCAGCAGCUCGAUUUGCCGGUGUCUGCCUUCAACUCUGGCUUAGAGACAACUAGUUUCACUUAGCUAGUUUCCAGGUUGAAAUUCCAAGCAUUGGCAUACUUUCAGAUUUUUUUUUUUUUGUACUAUUUCAUGAAAUUUCAGCUAAACAAACAGGCAGUGGUUUGUUGGUGUUGUUUUCUUUUACAUAUUAUUUGUACUGUAGUAACAUCCAAAAUCUCUCAAAAGAGGUGAAUUAAUUCAGGCUUUGAACGUUACAAAUCAUCUCAUGCUAAUGGAAAGCAGCUGGAGCAGAAAAUGAAAAGUUGUGAGAAGUGAAAAUAGAGCACUGUCUUCCUGAACCCUUAAAACCUAAAAGUUUUCUGCAUGUGUUUACUAGGACAUCACAAGGAAGAAUGUGACAAGCUUGCUAAUUUAAAGGAUGUUCUACUGAACUCUGCACAGCUAGCAAGACUCCUUUUAAACCAGAAUUUCCCUACAGGAGGUUAGCCCUCAGCAAGAGGGCUCUCUUCUUACCUAUUCUGAAAUGUGAUCUAUUUUUAGUGCUCUGAUUUUGUGCUAAUGAUUCUCAUAUGCUUUGACAUUCCUUAAUUUACUUACGUUUUCAAUGUUCCAGAUGUCAUGAGUUCCGUCACAAGAACGAUACACUUUUUUCCUUUCACUGUAGACUCCCAGGAAUCAUAGAACCUAACAAUAUUGGGAUGCUGAAGCCCUUUCAGCAUCCCAGCUUCUUCUUUAAAUCUUUGACGCUCUGAUUUGGACAGCUUCCGAUCCUAAUGAAAAAGAAAAGGUGUAUCAGAAAGCUUUGCUUUAUUUCUUACUCAGAGAAGCAGCAACUUGAACAACAGUUGGGUACAGUCAAUGAACAAUGCUUCAGAGUCCUGUCCUAUUAACAUUGUGACAAGAAAUCCUGCAUCUGCAAAGCACAUCACAAUACCACAAGUGGUUGCAGAGCCUAACUCAGACACCAGAAACAGCAGGAGAGCCAUGUUAGCAAGGCAUCAGACUCUGCUCUAGCCACUCAAGUCUGCUCUUCAUUCAGACCAAGCUCAGCCAAGUCUCUUACCUCUGCUAUCCAUUUUUACUGACACCAAGUGGUCUGAGCUAAAUUCUAGGACAAUUCAACAGGCAUUAAAUGGACAGUUACACAGAAAAGACACACUGCAUUUCAUUCUCAAAUACGUGCUACAGGAUGCCAAGCAAGUGGGUAACAAAAGGAACACUCUACAUGGAAGGAACUAGAUCUUCUAACUGCUAUAUAUCCUCAAACGUUAUUUUCUGUUUCAUGAUAUCAAGCACAAUUAACAUAGACAAAGUGGCAGAGAACCCUUAUGCACAACGUAACAAACCUGACUCAAAUCUGCCUAUAGUCUCCAACUUCUACGAAUAGGCAGACUCACAGGUGAUAGAGGUCAACUUUAAACUGGAUAUUUAAAGAAAAAAAAGGCAUGAGCUGCUAUUCAACUUAGGGAGCUGUUUCCUCUUCCACACUAUUAGGAAGAUAAUAAAGUGGAAACUAAGAAAGACUGGACACUUUACAUACUACAGACAGGUUUUACUAGCUUUCUGCAUAUCCUACAGCUAGAUUCAGAAAUUCUACAUAGCUAAUGUUACAGGGACAGUUAGUUAGCGGGUUGUUGGUUUGAUUUUUUUAAACUACAGUAGAGCAACACUAUGUAGCUUUUAUCCAAAGAGAUGCACUAGAAAUCACAAUAGAAAAAUUAGUACCAAUGAACUGUCUUCAGGCGAUGCAAUCAGAAAGCAUACAGCCAUGAGACUUCAAAGUGCUGUUGAAUUAUAAACAGUCUGAAUCACAACCAUGGUAAAUUAUCUGUGCUGAGGUUACAGUAAGCAGCAUUUCAUCAAGCUUUUCAAAUGUCUGAAAAUUUGAGAGGAAGACACUGCUGCUCCCAGCCUGUUAUUCAGAGGAAGAAGUAGCAUACAGAACAGACAAAUGUUCUUCUGUGUUCAUUUCUGCAGCAUAUGAGAAAGGCUUUGCAAGCCUUUUAGGCAAGGUUAAUGAGGGGUCAUCAGAGGAGAAGCUAGCAAGACUGCACUCUGAUAUUCAGCACUGUUAAUGGAACUGAGGCUUUGUGGGCUGCAGUGUUCUCAUCCUGAAAAAAUUUAGCAGUUUAGAGAAAAAAAAGAGCACAGUGACCAUUGAGCUACAUUAACAAAAUACCAACAAAGAAUCCACAGAGCUUAAAAAUCAUCCAACGUUACAUAGUUAGUACCUAGAAAUGGAAGACUCAGUAAGACCCACAUCUACUUCUGCAUCAACACAAACCUCUUCAGACUUUCCAGUGUCAAAGACUAGCAGAGAGAAAAAAGGAAGUGAAGGGGAAGUGACUGUUCAAAACACAUCCCUGUACAGCCACAGAAAUUGAAACUGAUCAAGGAUCUACACAGACGCCUCCACCAGUAUACCUUUCUACAUGGCACUGAACGCAAAAAAAUGAUUAAAUGGAGCUGAACAGCUGUUGUUCCAGAAGUAAGCAUGUAGGCUACACAACCCCACUUUUCCCAGCCACUCCUUGUAAGAGUUGAGCUAUAGACCCUUCACCAGCUUCGUUGCUCUUCUUUGGACGUGCUCCAGCAAUUCAAUGUCUUCCAUGCAGUGAGGGGCCCAAAACUUUUCAGCCCCUUUUCUCCUCAUAGAUUAAAAAUGGAAGACAAUGUUCCUGAGGAUGGCUAGUGGAAUAAAGUGCAAUGCCAAGUUAACGCUUACUUACUGAAAGUAAAAUUUUACACUGCUGCUUGGCAAGUCUCCACAACAAGAAUCAAUUUUAUAUAAGCUACAAACAGCCUUUGUGGAGUACAAAAACAACCUUAAGAAUGAGAACACUCAAGUAUAAUAUACACAUCUAACACAAUAGAAAAGAUUAGGCUUAAAACAGUUGUGUAUUACACUUUUUAAAGUUCCUAAUUCAGGGGGAAGAUUCUUUUGUAGGCUUCCUCUUACACAAGCUAUUAAAAACGCUUUAAUUUUCAGUAAAGUACACAAGUAGUCAACCUAAAUGAAAGGCUGAAGGAUUAUUCACAUUAGUUAUACUGUUUCCUGGUGUACAUCCUCUAUUUUAAUUUCUGGCAUUUCAAUACACAACAACAGUAGCACCGCACAAAAUUUACCAGAAGAUGCAGUUAGUUCACUAAAAAUACAUCAAGAAUUUAAA